GGCCGGAUAGCUUAGUGGUCAAAGCUUUUCCGAUUGAUGGAAGCGACCCAGGUUCGACUCCUGGUCCAGCCG
rnacentral:tRNA from 2 species